CUGGCGGCAGGCUUAACACAUGCAAGUCGAACGAUGGAACCUAGCCUGCUAGGGGAAAUAGUGGCGAACGGGUGAGUAACAUUUAGGAAACUGCCUUAUAGAGGGGGAUAGCUCGGGAAAACUCGAAUUAAUACCGCAUACGUCCUACGGGAGAAAAGAGCUUUAGGGUUCUGCUAUAAGAUGUGCCUAAAUUAGAUUAGCUAGAUGGUGAGGUAAAGGCUCACCAUGGCGACGAUCUAUAACUGGUCUUAGAGGAUGAUCAGUCACACCGGAACUGAGACACGGUCCGGACUCCUACGGGAGGCAGCAGUGGGGAAUAUUGGACAAUGGGGGAAACCCUGAUCCAGCCAUGCCGCGUGUGUGAAGAAGGUCAUAAGAUUGUAAAGCACUUUAAGCAGGGAGGAAGAGCUAGUCAAGAAACCGGGCUAGUAGUGACGUUACCUGCAGAAUAAGCACCGGCUAACUCUGUGCCAGCAGCCGCGGUAAUACAGAGGGUGCGAGCGUUAAUCGGAAUUACUGGGCGUAAAGCGGGUGCAGGUGGUGCACUAAGUCAUAUGUGAAAGCCCUGGGCUUAACCUAGGAACAGCAUAUGAUACUGGUGAACUAGAGUAUAUGAGAGGAAAGUAGAAUUCCAGGUGUAGCGGUGAAAUGCGUAGAGAUCUGGAGGAAUACCGAUGGCGAAGGCAGCCUUCUGGCACAAUACUGACACUCAGACCCGAAAGCGUGGGUAGCAAACAGGAUUAGAUACCCUGGUAGUCCACGCCGUAAACGAUGUCUACUAGCCGUUGGGGCUCAUGAAGCCUUAGUGGCGCAGCUAACGCGAUAAGUGGACCGCCUGGGGAGUACGGCCGCAAGGUUAAAACUCAAAUGAAUUGACGGGGGCCCGCACAAGCGGUGGAGCAUGUGGUUUAAUUCGAUGCAACGCGAAGAACCUUACCUGGUCUUGACAUAGUGAGAAUCCUACAGAGAUGUGGGAGUGCCCUUGGGAAUUCACAUACAGGUGCUGCAUGGCUGUCGUCAGCUCGUGUCGUGAGAUGUUGGGUUAAGUCCCGCAACGAGCGCAACCCUUAUCCUUACUUGCUAGCAGGUGAAGCUGAGAACUGUAAGGAGACUGCCAGUGACAAACUGGAGGAAGGCGGGGACGACGUCAAGUCAUCAUGGCCCUUACGACCAGGGCUACACACGUGCUACAAUGGUAGGUACAGAGGGCAGCUACACAGCGAUGUGAUGCGAAUCUCAAAAAGG
rnacentral:rRNA from 1 species